rnacentral:rRNA from 1 species
GAUCCUGGCUCAGGACGAACGCUGGCGGCGUGCUUAACACAUGCAAGUCGAACGGGAAGAAAAGAAAGAGCUUGCUCUUUCUUGGAUUCUAGUGGCAAACGGGUGAGUAACACGUAAACAACCUGCCUUCAGGAUGGGGACAACAGACGGAAACGACCGCUAAUACCGAAUGCCUUCCAAUUUCCGCAUGGAGAUAGGAAGAAAGGGUGGCCUCUACUUGUAAGCUAUCGCCUGAAGAGGGGUUUGCGUCUGAUUAG